ensembl:lncRNA
GUGGGUGUCAGUUGUGGUGAUGUUGGCUGGUUGGGCUGGUCCAUCCUCUGACCCUGGGGGUGGGGUAGUCAGGUGCCAGCAGUGCUGGACUAGACGAGAUGAUUCCCCUAUUCUCAGGCCCCUACGUGGCCCACUGAAUGGCAUGUAUGAGUCUGAAAGCGGUUGGACCACGACUGUCAGUCAGCCCAGAUUUCAGGUGCUGGCUGUGAUUGAGGAUGGCAGUCUGGUGCCUAGGUCACUGGCAGAACUCUCAGAAAGGGGCAGGGAGAUGACAGGCCUAUGGGGACUGGGUUGCAGUUGAAAUGGUCUGGCCGGAGCAGAGUGGCUGUACUGUCAGACUUUCACUGGGGAGGGCAGAACCCCUCUUCUGAGGCAAUAAAGACUGGCAGCUGUGGAGCAUGUGGCCUGCUAGCACUUUUCUCCACAGAAGCAGUUCUGGAUUUCACUGUUGGGGCCUAUGAAGGUGCCUGCUGUCCUGGCCCGUGGGCAGCAGAGGCAGAGGCAGCAGUGGCAGAGGGUGUGGAGGGCCUAUCUGUGGCCUCUGGGAGUUGGCAGCUUCUGGGAGUCCACCCACAGCCACAGCAUUCAGGUUUAGAAUUGACAAUUACUUUUAAGGCUGAUAUAGUGGUAACAAAUUUCCUCAGAGAUUCCUUGUUUGGGAAAGGCUUUGCAGAUAACAUUUUGAUGGCAUCUACCUUUCUUCAGGAACACAGGUAUGACAUUACAGUAAUGACAUCCUUUUUCAAGGAGAUUCAUCUGAUACACUCAAUAAGUACAUGUAAGUCCAAUGCCUUUUUUUUUUUUUUUGCUUAUAAAUUAAAAUUAGCCAUCACUCCUGUUAGUGCUUUCAAAAAACUUGUUCACAGCUACCUUUUUCCUCCUGGACCACUCAUGACUGCCAUCAGUUGCUUCAGGGCUUCUCAUGCAAGAAAUUCUCAUGCUAUGCACCACUAAAAUAACAUAUGGCUGGCUACCUACUGGACUGUCCUAGAAAUAAAGGUUCUCACUGGGAGUGGUGGCUCACACCUGUAAUUCCAGCAUUUUGGGAGGAUGAAGCAGACAGAUCACCUGAGGUCAGGAGUUCAAGACCAGCCUGGCCAUCAUGGUGAAACCCCAUCUAUACUAAAAAUAUAAAAACCAGCCAGGUGUGGUGGUGCAUGCCUGUAGUCCUAGCUACUUGGGCGGCUGAGGCACAAGAAUGUCUUGAACCCAGGAGGCAGAGGUUGCAAUGAGCCAAGAUUGAGCCACCGGACUCCAGCCUGGGUGACAAAGCAAGACUGUCUCAAAAUUAGAAGAAAAAAAAAAAGGAUAAAAAGAGGCUCUUAUAGACCCUGAGCUGUGACCCUGUGACCGUCCAUAUCCAGCUGUCCAUUAUCCUUUGGGUCAGAGAGUGAGCACCUCGCAAGCCCGGCUUGGCUACUGAGGCCUAUUUGAGACAGAAUUGAGCCAAACCUGGGCCUUCUGGUAUAUUCUACCUGCAGAAGGAGGUGGUUUCUCCUGUCCUUUAUACCUUGACAAAUUCCAGGGUGCUGAAGGAGGUUAUUUCUCUCCCAGACUUCUGGAGUACCUAGGAAGCCCCUUGAGAUUAACUGAGUGAACAGCAAUAGGAGCUCAGACUCUGCAAAAAGCACUGCUAACUACCACACAUGACACAGCUUAAUGGAAUGUUAUUCUUUCUAUCCCUUAGCCUGGAUGUCCCUAAUGAAGGACCAGGCCUAAGGAACAACACGCUUGGCCAAACCUCAAGCAGUCAACUUAGGACUACAUGCCCUAUUCAACAAAUGAUCUCAUUUUCAUAUUUAUUAUAAACUAUUAGGCAAUUACCUAAAAAUUGGCCAUUUCAAGGUUGAACUCUGGGCAUCUCUUGCUGCACCUCAAAGUAUAAUUCCAAAUCACCCAUCUCCA